rfam:Anolis carolinensis chromosome 3, whole genome shotgun sequence.
UAACAAUGCAGGUGGGGACAUGUUGGAUGUGUGAUUAUGUUUGUACAUAAUCACACAUCCAACAUGUUCCUGCCUGUAUUGUUA